GGCAUCGUGUGGCUCAGUGGUAGACCAGGCACACCAUAUGCUGAGGCUACAAUCCUCAUGCAGCUGUCCUGGGUUCGAUUCCCACCACUGAGCCA